rnacentral:rRNA from 1 species
GUGGCGGACGGGUGAGUAACGCGUGGGAACGUGCCCUUUGGUACGGAACAACUGAGGGAAACUUCAGCUAAUACCGUAUGUGCCCUUCGGGGGAAAGAUUUAUCGCCAUUGGAGCGGCCCGCGUUGGAUUAGCUAGUUGGUGGGGUAAUGGCCCACCAAGGCGACGAUCCAUAGCUGGUCUGAGAGGAUGAUCAGCCACACUGGGACUGAGACACGGCCCAGACUCCUACGGGAGGCAGCAGUAGGGAAUCUUGCGCAAUGGGCGAAAGCCUGACGCAGCCAUGCCGCGUGAAUGAUGAAGGUCUUAGGAUUGUAAAAUUCUUUCACCGGGGACGAUAAUGACGGUACCCGGAGAAGAAGCCCCGGCUAACUUCGUGCCAGCAGCCGCGGUAAUACGAAGGGGGCUAGCGUUGCUCGGAAUUACUGGGCGUAAAGGGCGCGUAGGCGGAUAGUUAGUCAGAGGUGAAAG